rnacentral:rRNA from 1 species
UGAGGAAUAUUGGUCAAUGGGCGCGAGCCUGAACCAGCCAAGUAGCGUGAAGGAUGAAGGUCCUACGGAUUGUAAACUUCUUUUAUAAGGGAAUAAAGUCACCCACGUGUGGGUGUUUGUAUGUACCUUAUGAAUAAGCAUCGGCUAACUCCGUGCCAGCAGCCGCGGUAAUACGGAGGAUGCGAGCGUUAUCCGGAUUUAUUGGGUUUAAAGGGAGCGUAGACGGGCCGUUAAGUCAGCUGUGAAAGUUUGAGGCUCAACCUUAAAAUUGCAGUUGAUACUGGCGUCCUUGAGUACGGUUGAGGCAGGCGGAAUUCGUGGUGUAGCGGUGAAAUGCUUAGAUAUCACGAAGAACUCCGAUUGCGAAGGCAGCCUGCUAAGCUGCAACUGACAUUGAGGCUCGAAAGUGUGGGUAUCAAACAGGAUUAGAUACCCUGGUAGUCCACACGGUAAACGAUGAAUACUCGCUGUUUGCGAUAUACUGCAAGCGGCCAAGCGAAAGCGUUAAGUAUUCCACCUGGGGAGUACGCCGGCAACGGUGAAACUCAAAGGAAUUGACGGGGGCCCGCACAAGCGGAGGAACAUGUGGUUUAAUUCGAUGAUACGCGAGGAACCUUACCCGGGCUUAAAUUGCAGAUGAAUUACGGUGAAAGCCGUAAGCCGCAAGGCAUCUGUGAAGGUGCUGCAUGGUUGUCGUCAGCUCGUGCCGUGAGGUGUCGGCUUAAGUGCCAUAACGAGCGCAACCCUUGUUGUCAGUUACUAACAGGUUCCGCUGAGGACUCUGACAAGACUGCCAUCGUAAGAUGUGAGGAAGGUGGGGAUGACGUCAAAUCAGCACGGCCCUUACGUCCGGGGCUACACACGUGUUACAAUGGGGGGUACAGAGGGCCGCUACCACGCGAGUGGAUGCCAAUCCCCAAAACCUCUCUCAGUUCGGACUGGAGUCUGCAACCCGACUCCACGAAGCUGGAUUCGCUAGUAAUCGCGCAUCAGCCACGGCGCGGUGAAUACGUUCCC